rnacentral:pre_miRNA from 1 species
UUUCUACUCCCUCCGUCCGAAAAUACUUGUCAUCAAAAUGGAUAAAAAGAGAUGUAUCUAAAACUAAAAUACAUCUAGAUACAUUUCCUUUUAUCCAUUUUGAUGACAAGUAUUUCCAGACGGAGGGAGUAUUUG